rnacentral:rRNA from 1 species
GACGAACGCUGGCGGCGUGCUUAACACAUGCAAGUCGAACGGAAAGGCCCUGCUUUUGUGGGGUGCUCGAGUGGCGAACGGGUGAGUAACACGUGAGUAACCUGCCCUUGACUUUGGGAUAACUUCAGGAAACUGGGGCUAAUACCGGAUAGGAGCUCCUGCUGCAUGGUGGGGGUUGGAAAGUUUCGGCGGUUGGGGAUGGACUCCCGGCUUAUCAGCUUGUUGGUGGGGUAGUGGCUUACCAAGGCUUUGACGGGUAGCCGGCCUGAGAGGGUGACCGGCCACAUUGGGACUGAGAUACGGCCCAGACUCCUACGGGAGGCAGCAGUGGGGAAUAUUGCACAAUGGGCGGAAGCCUGAUGCAGCAACGCCGCGUGCGGGAUGACGGCCUUCGGGUUGUAAACCGCUUUCGCCUGUGACGAAGCGUGAGUGACGGUAAUGGGGAAAGAAGCACCGGCUAACUACGG